UACGUAGGGGGCAAGCGUUGUCCGGAUUUAUUGGGCGUAAAGAGCUCGUAGGCGGUUGGGCAAGUCACGUGUGAAAUCUCCACGCUCAACGUGGAGGCGCCACGUGAGACUGCCCUGACUCGAGUCCGGUAGGGGAGCGUGGAAUUCCCGGUGUAGCGGUGAAAUGCGCAGAGAUCGGGAGGAACACCCGUAGCGAAGGCGGCGCUCUGGGCCGGUACUGACGCUGAGGAGCAAAAGCGUGGGGAGCGAACAGG
rnacentral:rRNA from 1 species